rnacentral:rRNA from 1 species
UACAGAGGGUGCAAGCGUUAAUCGGAAUUACUGGGCGUAAAGCGUGCGUAGACGGUUAUGUAAGUCAGAUGUGAAAGCCCCGGGCUCAACCUGGGAAUUGCAUUUGAGACUGUGUAGCUAGGGUGCGGAAGAGGGAAGCGGAAUUUCCGGUGUAGCGGUGAAAUGCGUAGAUAUCGGAAGGAACAUCAGUGGCGAAAGCGGCUUCCUGGUCCAGCACCGACGUUCAGGCACGAAAGCGUGGGGAGCAAACAGG